CCCAGGGCUUGCGCCCUGGGCUAUUUUCCGUCCCCCCUCCGGGGCU
rfam:Acidobacteria bacterium RIFCSPLOWO2_02_FTLL_60_20 rifcsplowo2_02_scaffold_20643, whole genome shotgun sequence.